AUGCUCCCCUCAUCAAAAGAAUGGGUACAGCCAAAAAAACAUGAGUCGCCUGCCUACCCGCUCGCCCGUCCCCACGCCCCAAUCCCUUUUUUGGCCCAAUCGAAAUUGACGGCGGCCGCCGCACCGCUCGCCACCGCCGCUGAUGCCAACCUCCCGCAAGUCACUGUUGUUUCCUCCUAUGGCGCGCCGCUCCCGACCAAUCCGGCGAGGCCUGCGUGCCACCUCCCGACUCUUCCCUUCCCUGGUCUGGAGCACAAGCCUCCUUUCCCUCCACCCCGAUCUGGCAGUAGCGGCAGGAGCUAG
rnacentral:rRNA from 1 species